CAUCAACUAUAUACAGUAUCUUUAUCAUCUAUAAUAGCAAUUGCAUCAACAACAUAACAACAACACACAAGCGGUCGCUGGGGAAUUCUACAAGGAGAGCGAAGAGCUGCUACAGCCCAAAGAUGCUGGGAAGCAUCAUUGCACAACAUUUUCGUCCACUGCAAAGUGCAAGCAGAUGAUUUGAAUACUCCAGCUUUCUAGGCAAGCUAUAAAGAUGAUGGUGUCGGUGUUUGUAUGGAAGUGCCACAAUUAAGGCAGUGCGGUGUCUAAGUUACAGGAUUGCUGCAACUAAAUUUACGAACAUAACAAUCUUAAAUAUAAAAAUAAUCUUUAAAUAAGUAAAACUCACAAAAAUUGACAUAAAAAUAAAUAAAUACUGAAAGUAAAACUUUUUUAUAUAAGGGAUCUCGUUUUUAUUUGUUCAUAAAUGAGCAUGAAAGAAAAGAUUUGGCAUACAGGAACAGAAGAGAAAAUUUAAUAUAGUGAUGAGGAAGACAUCAUUUAUAUGAGGUAAUCAUUAACAAUGUAUUAUAACUGUUAACAUUCAUUUUUCAUUCUGUACAAAAGAAUAUAAAGCAGUUAACUUUUUCUGCAAUGAAAAUUUAGAUACUGGAUUUAACUUUGUUAGUUUUUUCAGUUGGGGUACAUAAUUUGUUAUUCAUUUAACUUUGCAUGUUUACUAUUGUUUACCGUAGGUAGCUUGUUUAUACAAAACAAAUAAACGUCAAUUUGGCUCUCAUUUUUUACGUUCCCUUAAUUAAUAAUGGAAAAUUUGAGAGAAAGUAUUGUGGUAUUUGAUUAACCUCUUGGCGAUAAUCAAUUGCCUCCUAAAAAAGCAUGCGAUAAUCACGCCGGUGAUCGCCUACUUAGAUGAUUACCUGUAUAUGGAAAUAUGUUGUUAUUCGGAAGUAGCGAAUCGGCAUUAUUUUCCCAAAAUUAAAGUUAUUAGAAGUAAACUGUAAAUUAACAUUUUUUGGUAAAAACACACGAACAUGUAGUUCGCUACAGUAAGAACACUAAAAUUUGUAUAUAAAGCUUAUUUCAGAGGAGCAACGCUCCAGCAGUUAAAUAGCCAACGCUUACGACCGGGUAAGCGGGCAACUUUACUUCUAGAGCAGAUUGCCGCCGAUAGAGUCGGCAAUAGAUGUCUGUGCUACUAGGGAAUACAUGUUAAAAUAUAAAAAAAAAGAAAAGCAAACAAAUUAUUAUUCCAGUAAAAAAGGAAAUGAAAUAACUUCAACGAC